AAAAUAGUAAACAAAAAUAUAUAACAUUAUGUGUGUUCAUUAAAUCUUCAUUUUUAUUAACUUUUUAUUUUUUCUGUUUUUACAUAUUAUUAUUUUUUUGUGGUAAAAAAUCUUACAAUGGAAAUUGUAAUUAAAAUUCAAUAAUCAACAAUCAUAUAAUAUUUUUAAAAUUUGAAGAGUUUAAAAAAAAAUUAAAACAAUGUACCAAAAAAAAUUAUUUAUAUAGUAUUAUUUAUUUAAAUUUUACUUAGUAUAGUUUUUAUUGAAUUGUUUUAUGAAAUUUAAAUAUUGUCAAAAUAUGGAAAUUUUUUAUUAAUAAUUACGUGUUUAAUUGUUAUUGAUAAUAAAUAAUAAAGCAAGUAAAUCAAUUAGUCAAAUAAGUUGUUACAUACUGGAUUAUUACACUUAUUAAAAAGUUUGUAAACUAUAAUAUUUGACUAUUAAAAAAUUAUUAAUAUGAAUAGUAAUUUUUAUAUUAAAACUAGUAUUGAACUGUAAAUGAAUGAUGGAUAAACUGUGAAUGAACUAUGGAUAAGUAGUAGAUGCACCUCAAGUACAUUUUAGAUAAACGCAAGCAAAAUUAAAAAUUAGCUUUACUUAUAACUUAAAUUAAUCAUGGUUAUAUUUUAAAUUAACUAUGGUUAAAUUUUAUAUUAAUUCUAGCUAUAUUUUAAAUAAACCCUAGAUACAUUUUUGAUUAUAACAUUGCAACAUUAUCAAUCAAAACUUACUAAGACUUUCGAGAAACCUUAGCAAUAUUUUAAUUAAAACCUAACAAUUUUUGAUAUAAAAACUCUGUAACAUUUCUCAUCGAAACCUAGCAACAUUGCUGAUUUAAUUUCAGCUAUAUUUUUGAUGAAACUUAGCAAUAUUUCUGAUUGAAAUUUAGCUAUAUUUUUGAUAAAACAUAGCAAUAUAUUAGAUGAACCCUAGAAACAUUUUGGAUGAAAUUUAGCAAUAUAUUUGAUGAAACUUGUCAAUAUCAUUAAUAAAACCUUGCAAUAUUGUUAAUGAGUCUUCGUAACACGUUGGAUAAAAUCCUAGAUACUCUUUUAACGAAACCUAGCCACAUUUUUAAUGUUACUUAUAAACAUUUUUAUAGUAACCUAAAAACAUUUUUAAUGAAACCUAGCAAAAAAUAUAUUUUUUGUAUAAAUUACAUUUUAAGUAAUAUUAUUUAAUUUGGAUUUGGUAAAAAAAUAAUGCAAAAAAAAGUCAGAAUUGUGAAAAAAAGUUUUGGAAAAAAAAAAAAAAAAAAGUUUAUGUGUAAUAAUUUAAUGUUUGAAAAUGAGUCCGUCAUUAACAAAAAAAAUAUCUACUCGUGCAGGCAGUGUCAAUAAAUUGAGCUGCCAACAGAGUUAUGGUUUGUAUGGUUUUACCCAUUAAAUUUAAUGCCAUUUUGGCACUUUCUAUUGCAGAGUUUUUUUUUUAUAUUAUUUAUAGUACGCAUUAUUCUUUUUAAUAUUUAUUUUUUACAUAUUCUAUUUUUUUUUUUUUUUUGUUAAAAAAAACUUACAAUAGAACCUGUAAUUAGAAUGCAAAAAGAUAAAAUCAUAUACUAUUUUUAAAAUUUAAAGCAAUUAAAAAAAAAAAAAAAAAAACAAUACAAUAAGUUUUAAUUGAUAAUUAUAAAUAAAAAAAAAAAAGUCUACAUAUUAUUUUUAUUUUAAAUUUUUCUAAGUGUAAUUUUUGUUACGUUAUUUGCUAAAAUUUAAGUAUUGUCAAAAUAAUCCAAUUCGUUAUGAAUUAAUACUUGUUUAAUUGUUAAUAAUAAUUAGUAAUAAAACGAGUAUUUCAAUAGGUCAAUAAAGUUAUUACAUUCUAAAUCAUUAAUCUUA